AAGACAGGAAUGAAACUAAUGAACAUAAAGUAAAGAGAAGCAGAACUGGAGUUGUUGAAAUCAUUGUAAUUAAACAAAAAAACUAAUAUAUUAUGUUUUUUUCCAUCUCUCGUGACAAAGGGGGAUCUAUACGUUUUCAGAACACGCCUAUUGUACAAAAUGUCUCCUCUAAGCAAAGUCAGUACUCCUAAAGUAUGAGAAUUAUGGUCAAUUCAAGAAAGAAGUUAUACAUUGGAAGGUAUCUUCACUGCAAGGAAUUGUGAGGCCACCCAUGGGAUGAUCAUAGCCAAACUCUUCCUCAGCUUCACUCAACAAGUCCUGGAAUAAAGGUUGGUUCAAGAAUGAAACAGGAAUCACAAACCACUUCAUUUUCUCUCCAACAUAGACUGCAAGAUAGCCCUUUGGUGCAUCCACCGCUUUUGAAGAUGCUUGUUUGCUGCAAAUAAUGACUUUCUGAUACCAGGUAAGCGAAAACCCAUUGUAGUAUUGAUUUGAGAAGAGAAUAGUUUAAGUUUCCUUAGAAUUUUGAAUGCCUUAGGAUGUGAAUGAUUUGGGUUGCUCUAAAACGCUUGCAGCCAUGAAUAUAUAUAGAUAGAAAGAUUUGCAAGAAACCAUUAAUUGGGUACUUGAAUUAUUACUGAAGACGGGAUACGAGAUCGGAGUCAUGGGACCGAAUGAGAGACAUGGCAUGUGGUGUUGUCUUAGAGAACUUUCCAAAGAAUUAACGAAACAUUAUAUUGUAGAUAAUUCAAGUCCCAGCUUCUGCUUCUAGGAAAAAAGAAAAUGUAAUAUGAUCUUGUCGACACUAGCUUAUUCAGUGUGGUGGGGGCCAGAAGUUUCAUUUAUGCAAAGUUCAUGUAGUGUUGCUUAGUAUUUGACGUGCAAAAAAAUGUGGUUCACGAUGCCUGAUGAUAUGAUGAUGCAUUCAAUGUUGGUCCUCAUCUUAUUUCCACUGUUUUGGAUCUAUGAAAUCCUUUAGGACAGCUCCAUAUGCCCUUGUCCUUUGCUAAAGUUGUGUAGACGUGUGUAACAUCACCUUAUCAAACAAUGGGCAACUUAAAGCCUCAACUUGAAACUAAAUGAGACGUGCCUAAGUGAAUCCUAACUUUUUUUAAUGCAUUAAUUGGUAUUCCAUACUUUUGAAGACAUGCUUUGGACAUGUUUUCAUCACGUUAGCUAUACUAGAGUACAGGCUGUGAAAAUAGACAGCUGGAAGAAAUUUCCAGGAUGAUGAAUUAUAAGGCAACACAUAGCGAAAGAUCAUAGACCAUUAUAUUUCUAGGGUUUGACAUUAUACAUACUAUAACAUGUUAGGUAAUUCAUGAGAAAGUCCUCUAAGGCAACACCAUAUGCCCCUGCUGUCUCCAUGUCGGUCCCAUGACACAUCUGAUUGCCUUCCCCCCACAAUCAUACAUCUAGCCAACGAUUUCUUACAUAUUCUCUCUUCUAUAUAUAUUUAUGUCUUCAAGGAUUUAGCACAACAACAAUCAUUUACAUCCUAUAGAAUUUAGAGUUCAAAAACAUCCAUCUUCUUUAGAAGUCUUAUUUGACACUCUCUUCACAAGUUUCAACACAUACAACAAUGGGUUUUCGUCUACCUAGAAUCAGGAAGACAUCAUUUUCUGCAAACAAAUUUGCAUCUUCAAAAGUCAUUGAUUUGCCGAAGGGCAACCUUGCAGUCUAUGUUGGAGAGAAAAUGAGGCGGUUUGUGAUUCCUGUAUCAUACUUGAACCAACCUUCAUUCCAGGACUUGUUAAGUCAAGCUGAGGAAGAUUUUGGAUAUCAUCAUCCAAUGGGCGGUCUCACAAUUCCUUGCAGUGAAGAUGUAUUCCGACAUAUAACUUCUUGCUUGAAUUGACAACAAAGCUCACACUAGGAAAGUGACAUAAAUUAGUGAAGACGUUUUGUACAAUAGGGUCUUCUCAACUUGUAAAUAUAUCCGUUUCUCGAAAAAGAGGGAAAAGAAAGAUUAUAGAAUGACAAAAGCCACAGUAUUUCAUUUUUUUUUUUUGUUGUGACAAUGAAUUCAACUACUCAAGUAAAUCCUGUGUUUUCUGUUAUUGUUACAAUGUUAACUUUACCCCGUAUGAGCAAGGUUGAUUUCUCUAAAAAAAAAAAAAAAAGGUGCUGACAAUCCAUGCUUUUCCGCCCAAGUAACAAUUAAUAAUUUUUGUUUGGGAAAAUGGAAAAAUAAAUGACCCUUGGAAAAUGGAUAAAUGAUAAUGCUGUUGGAGUGAUGAUAGAAUGGAAGGGAGUACUAAAUUAACUAGAGAUAUAUAGUCACUUUGUGUUGCUUAAAGCAUGAACUGAAUGAGCCACAUAUCAUAUAGAAAAUAAAGCGAAAACUGUUUCAGGACAAAUGUGAUGUGGACAUAUAUUGAAAAAUAAAAAAAGGGAAGCAUUAACAGAAUUAUCCAGGUUGGUCAAUAUCUCCAACACAAUUGCUGUACUUAAUCCCUAAUAUUAGCUGAUAGCUUGAUGCUGAUAUAUAUCAAGUUAAAUAUGGUAAUGUUACGCACUGUUAUAUAUAUAAUCGAGAUUUGGCAAAAGAAAAAAGUUCUUAAACAAUGUCUUGUGCUGCAUUCUCAUUCAGGCAACAGGUUUUAAAUUAUGUACAAAUACAAGAAAAAUGACCUAUACCUACAGACAAAAAUUGUCACUGUAAAUAAAAAAUCCGUAGGUAAAUGUAUGAUAGACUUUAUUCUACGGACGUUUCUUCUGUUAACUUUGAGGAGACGUAUAAUGACGGCUAAUUGUCUGUCACUAUAGGUUUUAUCUACUAUGUAUAGUGUGUAGGUAAAAGUCUCUUCUACUUACAUUUCUUAACUGUAGGUAAAAGUCUUUAAUAUGUACCUAUCAUCUUCAACUGUAAGUAAAAGUCAUUAACUUCUACUUACAUUUUCUAAUUGUAGGUAAAAGUCUUUGAUAUGAACAUCACUUGAGACCGCAAGAACCUUCUUUCCCAUUAACUGAUGCCACAAAACUGCACUGUUUAGAAACAAGGCCAGAACCAAAGAUUAGAUAUGUUCAAACAUGAUGUAAUAAUCACCAGAAAUCUUCAAGUAACCUUCAAGGAAAAAAAAGUAUUCUCUUUUCGUUUGUUGCAAUUUUCAAUUAGUACUUACAUGUAGUAGUCAGGAUUGGGAGCAAAGGUGGUGGUAUUGAGAAGGCCAUAGUUCCCUCAAAUUAAAGUCUGCCUGCAAUAGACUUUAGUGCUGUAGUAGGAUGCUAUUCCAAGUUGAUCUAAGUACCUGAGCCAUUUAAAUUUCAAAACUUACAAUAAAUCACAACCAAUUUAAAAGAGAACCAAUUAUGUGGCUCACCAUCUCUACUCCUACACUAAAAAUUAGAAUCCCUAAUUUGGAGUGAAGCUUUCACUCUCUUCACUCUCUUAACUAGAGAUUCUCAAUACUCUCUCUCUUCUCUGCUUGGGAGGUGCUUCUCACACUAUCCCCAUAAUUAGCCAAAAAAUAUCUCAAUCAUCUCAAACUAUUCUUCUUUUAUCUUUAUCUGUUAUAUUUAAUUUUCUUAACCACUUAUCCAUUUCAAUUUAAAAAUAAUCUUAUACCACAAUUUAAAUUAUUUAUUAUGAAUCCAAAAGAAAUUGUAUAUAUUUAAAAAUAUUUUUUUAUUAUAAUUAUAAUUUAUAUAAAUUUAAAAAUAUUUAUUUAUUAUGAAUUAUCAUUAUAAUUAUAUACAAAUAAAAUUUGUCCUUUGCAAUGCACAUACUAAAAUACUGUUUCUGUAUAUAAAUGUAUAUGUACCCUCAGAUUAUAAUCAGAAUACAGAUUACAUACAUCUCCCAAUUUUGUUUUCUGUCGCAAAUUCUAUCAACCAUAGUUUUCUCACACUUUUUGCAGUAUAAACAAUGGAAUCUAAUCUGCAUAUAUGCAUGGCUGAAAUGUUUGAAGAUUGAAAACCAAUUUUCAUGAAAAUAUAAUAACAAACAAAAUGUACUUGAAAAAAUCCAAGACUAUACUCACUAUGGGUAUUUUAACAUAGCCACUGGGAGCCAGAUUUUGCUGCAGCAAAGUAUUGGACAAAGAAAUAAGGGAAGUAAGCCAUCUGUUUAAUAGAUUGAAAAGGAAAAUAUUUAAAAAAUGAACGUAAGACAUGCAAACAUCCAUUUUUCUGAAGACCAUAAUUAUGAUCUGAAUACAAUAAAAAGAGUGAAAAAUUGAAGUCGAAACUUGGGCAAACCGGCUGUAGAUCCCUAAUUGGAGUACAACAUCAAUAAGGGUGCAUAAUGACUCAGACUGGGAAAGAAAAAAGAAACAAAAUCAUGUUAGAACAUCAUGCUAAGACAACUCUCUGUAACAAAAUUACAGAUAAUUAACAGCUUAAUUAUUUUAAUGUUUUUACUCAAUCACAGAUAUGACGAACAUUAAAAAUAUUUGAUUGAUUGGUCUGGAGUUAUCAACAAAAUUUUUUUGUCUAAGUCACUUUGUUUCUUUUUUUCCAAGUUACUUCUUUUUUUGCACAGAUCGAUAUUUCAUGGUCUACCACAUGCAGUAAAAAGGACUUGCCAAGCAAAUAAAAUAAUUUUGAAAAUGAGAAUGGAGUACCUACCAUUGGAUAGGGUAUAAAUUACUUAUUGCAAUAGUAUGCUUAUUAUUUAUUGACAUAGUAUAAUAAAAAGAUCAUGUUGAUUCCAUAUAAAAUUAUAAUGCAGGGUAGCAAGCCAAAAAAUUUUGCACCUGAUUUCAAUCUAUAGAUUAACAUCAUGUGGCCCAACAAUGGAUCUAGGAUAAGCUUACACACCAUCUUAAAAUUUGGGAUUACGGGCUAACUCGAUCCUACAAAACCAGCUUGUAAGGUGAGAAUUGUUCAAGCUUUAUAAUCUCUAUUUAAGCCAUAUCUCUAAUCUUUGUGGGACUAAGCACCACCCUUGAGGCUACAAUUUAAAGCAACGCCCAAAGUGAAUGCAAUUAAGGCGAGCUAGGUGUGACCGCAAUUAAGGCAAGUUAAGGGUAACUACAAUUAAGGCGACUCUCCAACAAAUACAAAUUUCCUUGGUUACAUAGUUUUUAGUCAUGUGAGAAGGCCAGGAGAGGAACCAACAAUGAGAAUAUAGAUUGCAUAUUUUAGUCCCAUGAAAAAAAGGAGGCCAAGAAGGACUUUGAAGUCAUCAAGUGAGAUCUCAUGGUAAACAAUAAUCUUGAACCUUUGUUUUUUAACCAAACCGAAUGACAUCAUUGAUCCAUGUAGCCGAUGACACCUAUUGGGAUGAGGCUUUGCUGUUGUUGUAAUACUAACUUCCUUGAUGAAUCUAGCUGCCAUAUGGAGGCAUCGGCUAAAGUAUCAAGAUAUACAGAAAUGUCAUCUCUCAAGUGUCUGAACUGACAAAAGAUUAUUUUUUAUUUGGAAACGUAGGUGUUGGUGUUGGAAACAUGAUCGACAUCUCAAGCAGGAGUGUCCAUGCUUCAAAACUCAAAAGUAACUCCAAGUCAUCCAUCAUGGUCCUUCUAAAAAACUCCAAACCAAAAAACUAUAGAUCUUUCCCUUGUUUCCUCUUAAAUCAUCCGCAACACCAUUGGCUGUAAACACUGCAUUCAAAGUUUGUCAUCCAAUAAUAGAAGCACUCUAAGCCUAAAACUAACUUUCCUACAAAAUUCCCCACAAGAAAAAUAUAAGAUCCUAUCAAAAUCUUGUAAUCAAUUAAAACCAAUCUAAGGGGGGCAGCAAAACCAUCCUAAACCUUUUAUAGAGCUGCCCAUUUUAGGAACCCAGGUAAUGAAGGUUUCUUGCCAAGAAUGGAAAGGGAGAAUAAAAUGAUCUCCAUUCUGAGAUUUAAAAAAAAUGCAGGAGAGUGGGCAGACUAUGGGAAACUAGCUUUGAAGGGUUUGGUUCCCUGGCAUAUAGGGGAAAAAGUAAAGAUGUACAAAGCAGGAGGCAACAACCAAAGCAACUGCUGAUUCAAUUAAAUGCAGUUCAACAAAAAUAUGCAGGAUCAAGCCACAUGCUCACAUUCCAACCUCACUCAUUUUGUUGUUCACAAAAUAUUAUUUCAUUUUAUCCUUCCAAAGGACAUUAAAAACAAGUAUAUCCUCCCAUUCUUUGUUAUUAAUUUACAUAUUCAUUGAGAUCCAUUCUAAACAUGCAAUUUCCUGAUUGAUAGCAAUGUCUAUGACAAAUAGAAUAAUUUGAAAACUGCUGCUUAUUUAUCUGGUCAGGCAACUUUGUCUAUUACACUUAAUAAUAAAACAUAUUGAUGAAAGAAUGCUUCAUUAGUAUCGGCAUUUCUAUAUAAAAAGCCAACAUCUGCUGAAUGAAGUUCAUCUACGAUGUUUACCCAACUUAACCUUAACAAAAGACAAAUAGAAUAUAGAGGAAUUGCAGAGACUUUCUAAGCGCAGUAGUAGAACAAGCACAUACUCCACAUAAUGGAAUAGAAGCGGUACCAGCAUGUGGACCUCCCAGCGAUAUAAAAUUCUUAACCUGUAUCACAAACAAAGAAUAAAAAUAUAAUACACUACAUUGAAUUAAAAUAUGGUACAAAUAGAAUAAUAAAUAAGAGCUACAAAAACAUAAAGAAUGUAUUCAAGGAAAAAGAGUUCUCCAUAAAAGAACCACACUAAAAUGCAAUGUCAAGAUUUCUUCUAACUUUAAAAGUAAUAAAAAUGCAAUAUCAUAUGAUCAUAAAGUUAGUUCUUACAGGAGGUGCUCCAUCACAAAAUUCAAUUAUUCCUCUACCAAUCAAGUUUCCCUGACAACCAAAAGAACCAAUAUGCUGUUAAUAUAGGAAAAACUAAGUCAAAAACUGAAAGUUCACUAACACGGUAUUAAAAGUUAUAAAACAGAAGUAAAAACAUACAGGUGGAGAAAUUAAGAUCAGAAAUAUUUCCUUAUCGGAAAAAAACCAGAAAUAUUUAUAUUUAAAAUCCCAAAUUUUAGAAUAAGAAUUAAUAGGCUAAAAUCAGUGCAAUAAUUUUGAAAAUUUGUUUCUGUUUCUAAGGCCCACACAUGUCCAUGUUAAUAACAGAAAGUUCUAAUGAAUACAUGUGGUGGAAAGAUCAAGCUACAUGGUCAAAGAAAUAUGUCAUUAAUAUUCAGAAGCAAUCACUUAGAUGUGUUUGUGGAAGUUAAAACAAAAAAUGCCAUGAGCGUUGACCCGUAUCAAAAGCCAAGAACACAAAUGUACUUUUUUUAUAAUUUGGGCUAAAAUAUAUUCUUGGUCUUCUAUCUUCUUAAAAACUCAUUUUGGUCCUUUAACUCUCAAAUUUCACUUAAUGUUGUCCUUAUGAAACAAUGACCAUUUUUGUUUUGGGGCACGAUUUUGAACCCUUUCUUUUACUUAUUCAAGACAUUAAACUUGUUCCAUUUGAUUCUUCUACAUGAAAACACCCAACUAAUGUUUGAGCCAAAAAGGGCUACAAACAUGGUGAAAAUUGUGUGAAAAAUUAGUAACAUGAGCAGCCAAAAAACUGAAAAAUUUAAUAUAAAAUUAUUUUCUAGUUACUCAGGAGACUCACUUUUCAUGUGAUUUUCUCCAUAGUAUGACCUUUUUGAUUAGGUUCCAUAGUUUCCAUGAAGGUAUUAGGUGAAUCUAAUAGGACAAGUUUCACGUCUUGAAUUAAUAAAAAAAAGGUUACAAAUUGUGCCCAAAAUAAAAAAUGACUAUUGUUUCGGAACGACAACAUUAACUCAAAUUUGACAUUUAAAGGAUCAAAAUAAAUCUUUUAAAAUAUAAAGGACCAAAACAAGUUUUAGUUAAAAAAAAAUAAAGGACAAAAAAUAUUAUUUCAUCAACAAUUUAUUUGUAUCUCUUUUCUUUAUGUAUCAAACAAAUAUUCCUUAUUUUAUUUCAAUGUAGCCAGUUUUGCGCAGAUAAAAUGAAAUGCAUGGUCAUCACACCUUUCCUAAUGGAAGUUCUUCACUGCCUAAGGUUAGAUCGCAACAGGUUUUCAUGGCUCAUCUUCCUUUCCAUCUUUGCCAUAUAUUUCAAAAUACUAAUUAUGUAUAAAAACAAAUACUCGAAAGAAUCUGGAAUUUCUACAUAUAGAAACAUAAAUAUAUACAUAGAUCUGUCAAUUUAACCCCUGUAAAUAUUAGAUUCUUGCAAGCUUUCACUGUUCCCCGAAAAAAGCAUAUGUAAUAUAGCAUCGUUGUAUUUUACAAAGUUCACAGAAAAAAUGGCAUUGGUUACAGAAACAUCAAAGGGUAAAUCAACAUCAUCACAAUCACAACACCAAUUGCAAGAAAAUGUCUAAAUUAAAAUAAAAUUACUAUUGCAUAGUAUUUACUUACCUGAGAAAGUCCCACAAUGUUGUAACCCUGACCUAGAUCACUCAUCUUCUUUACCUAUAGAAUAAGAUGGAUGUUGGAAAUAAGGCUUUUUAUGUUUAGGAAAAGUGUUUAGGAAUAUUGGAGACUUUGAAUAGAAACUUGAUAGGAAAGAGAAUUCUUUAUGGAGGAGAGAACUUUGUAUUUUUGCUUGAUACAAAUGUAUAGGAUUACAUCUCUAUUUAUACUACUCUAAGGAGAACUCUAGACACACUAAUUCUAGAGAGUUCUCAACUCUAGAGAUCCAAAGAGUAUUCUAGAGAAUAUUACAACCAUAAGAAAUAUCUAGACACUCCAAACACUACAAGAAUUCUCUAGAAACAUGACCCAUAAUUACUUAAGCCCAAAAUAACUAAGUCCAAGGAACCAAAUAAUUAAUUUAGGCCCAAAUCAAGUUUAUAUUUCAACAUCCCCCCUUAAACUUGAUUUGUUACUCCAAGCAUACUCCUUAGCUUCACGAAAGUUUCCAACUUGAGUGGCUUUGUGAAAAUGUUGGCAGCUUGAUCUUGAGACAUCACAUACUUCAACUUUACCUCUUUCUUCUCAAUGCAUUCUCUUAUGAAGUGGUAACGGGUGUCGAUGUGCUUACUUCUUUCAUGAAAGACUGGAUUAUUUGCCAAAGCGAGUGCUGAUUUAUUGUCAACACAUAUUUCCAUAGGUUUUUCUUGUGGCAUUUUUAACUCUUUCAACAAGUUCCUUAGCCAAAUUGCAUGACAAACGCAUGAUGUGGCAGCGACAUACUCGGCUUCACAAGUUGAUAGUGUGACUAUUGGUUGCUUCUUUGACAUCCAAGUGAAAGCAGUAUCUCCCAUAAAGAAUACAAAACCAGUAGUGCUCUUUCUAUCAUUCAAGUCUCCACUCCAAUCGCUGUCAGAAGAGUAAUAGUGCAAGCCAAAGUUUGUUGUACCUUUGAUGUAUCGAAGGAUUCUCUUUUCCGCCUUGAAGUGAGUUGUGGUUGGAGCUUCCAUGUAGCGACUUACUACUCCUACAGCAUAGAGAAUAUCCGGCCUUGUACAUGUCAAGUAACGUAAACUUCCAACCAAACUUUUGUAAAGAGUUGGAUCCACAUUCUCUCAUUUUUCAUGCUUGCUCAACUUGCUGCCACAUUCCAUCGGGGUGCCAACUGGAUUGGUGUCAUCCAUCUUGAACAUCUUAAAGACUUCUUUGGCAUAGCCUUCUUGGGUGAUGAAAAUUCCUUUGUCUUCUUGUUUUACUUCAAUGUUGAGAUAUUAUGCCAUGAGCCCCAUAUCCGUCAUCUUAAAUUCAUUUGACAUAUCUUUCUUGAACUCUUCGAACAUGCUUGGAUUGUUCCCUGUAAAGAUCAAGUCAUCUACAUACAAACACACAAUCAAAAUAUCUCCACUUUGCGCUUUGAUAUAGAGUGCAUGCUCAUAUGGACACUUGAUGAAGUUCUUGUCUUGAAAGUACUUGUCGAUUCGAACAUUCCAAGCUCUCAGUGCUUGCUUGAGACCGUACAACGCCUUCUUCAACUUCAAGACUUUUUCUUCUUGCCCUUUUACUUCAUAGCCCAGUGGUUGCUCAAUAUAGACUUCUUCUUCGAGAAAAUCAUUCAAGAAGGCUGACUUCACAUACAUUUGAUAGAUCUUCCAUUUAUUUUGGGCUUCCAAAGAAAUGAUCAGUCUAAUAGUUUCAAGACGAGCAACAGGAGCAAAUACCUCAUCAUAGUCAAUUCCUUGUCUUUGACUAUAGCCUUUAGCCACCAAUCUUGCUUUGUAUCUCUCCACAUCUCCUUUAGCAUUCUUCUUUGCCUUGUACACCCAUCUUACUCCGGUUGCUUUGUGUCCUCGUGGAAGUGUAGUAAGUUCCCACGUAUCAUUCUUCGUGAUUGACUUGAUUUCUUCGUCCAUGGCGUCUUUCCACUUUAUGUUUUCCGCUGCUUCUUGAUAGCUUAGAGGCUCACAAUCACCAAAAAGACAAAAGAGGUUAAUGUCGUUUAGGUUUUUGGUUACCUCAUAAAUCUCUUCAAUGCUCCUUAGUCGCGGUGUCCUCUCACUUGAACUUGUUUCAUCCAGCCUUGGUGUCGUUGAGGCAGGUGGUGUAAUAUGUUCCUCUAUGAUUGGUUGUUCAAUUUCAUCAUUUUCUUCAAAAUAAGGAAUAAAAUCAUACUUAUCUUCUUGAACACUCCAAUCCCAACAAUCUUCUUCGUCGAACUCCACGUCGCGACUUAUGACGAUCUUUCUACUAUUUGGAUUAUAGAGCUUGUAUCCCUUGGAUCUUGAGUCGUAACCCACAAACACGUACUUCUCACUUUUAUCAUCGAGCUUUGUCCUCUUUUCGUCUGGAACAUGGGUAUAGGCAAUGCUUCCAAACACUUUGAGGUGAGAGAUCCCGGGCUUCCUUCCACUCCAUGCUUCUUGUGGUGUCUUCUCAUGCACGCUUCUUGUUGGGGAACGGUUUGUUAGGUAAACUGCACAUGCCACUGCUUUAGCCCAAAACUCCUUCGGCAUCUUCUUGCUCUUGAGCAUGCUUCGCACCAUGUUAAGUAUGGUCCGGUUCUUUCUCUCUGCUACUCCAUUUUGUUGUGGCGAUCUUGGCACUGUCAGUGGGCGACGGAUUCCAUGGUCUUCACAAUAUUUGUUGAACUUAUUUGAAGUGAACUCUCCUCCUCGAUCAGAUCUCAUGGCCUUGAUGGAAAGACCACUUUCUUUCUCCACGAGGGCUUCGAACUUCUUAAAGUUUCCAAACACUUCUGAUUUCUCCUUCAAGAAAUAGACCAAGGUUUUUCUGGAAUAAUCAUCAAUAAAGAGGAGAAAGUACUUAUUCUUACCAAAUGAAUUAGGUUUGAUUGGUCCACAGACAUCGGUGUGUAUGAGCUCUAGCGGCUUUGUUGCUCUUGUUGUUGAUUCCUUUGGAAAACUUUUACGAAAUUGCUUCCCAAUUAGACAUCCUUCGCAAAGUUGGUCUGGGUGGUUGAUGCUAGGCAAGCCUGUCACCAUCUCCUUCUUUGCUAAACGUUCUAGACCGUCGAAGUUGAGGUGCCCGAAUCGUAGAUGCCAUAGCCACGAAGAGUCGGUAUAGCAAGCCUUGAGACACUUUGCCACAUCAUUUUGAAUGUUCAAGAGGAACAUUCUAUUCUUUGACAUAGGCACCUUAGCAAUCAAGUUAUGUCUACAAUCUCUUAAGAAAAGACUAUGUUCUUUCAAAUGGAUGUCAUAGCCUUUCUCUAAUAAUUGUCCCAAGCUCAAAAUAUUAUUCUUCAUGUUGGGCACAUAGUAGACAUUGGAUAUGAAUUGAUGACUCCCAUUCUUCAAACGUAUGAGAAUUUUACCUUUGUCUUUGACUGGUAUCUUUGAGUCGUCUCCAAAUAAGACAUCGCCAGUUGCCGCUUCAUUGAUCUCCACGAACAAGCUUUGAUCGCCGCACAUGUGGUUGCUUGCGCCGGUGUCGAGGUACCACUUGUUUCUUUUCCCUUGAAAUUUGUUUUGGCACGCGAGUAGCAAAGUUUCUUCUUCUCCGCCUUUUUCUUCUACAAAGUUAGCUUUCUCUUCAACCUUCUUCGAGAAUCUACACUCGGAUGCGUAGUGACCAAUCUUGUUGCAAUUGAAGCACUUGAUUUGUGAUUUGUCAUACCUCGACCAUGAAUUUCCUCUUCCACGACCUCUUGUUACUUGUGGAUUCCAACUUCUUUCUCCAUUGUUGAAUUUGUUGGAGUGGUUGUUGUAACCACCUCUUCCUUCUCCUCCAUGUCCUCGUCCACGUCCACGAUCUUGGCCGCGACCUCGUCCUCUUUGACUCUUGUAAUUUGCAUAGUUUGCUUCCUUUACGUUGAGUUGUAGUAGUUGCUCCGUAGCCUCCUUUUGUUUAAUUUUUCUCUUUUGUUUUUCUUCGUAUGCUUGUAAGGAACCCAUGAGUUGCUCAAUAGUCAUGGUCUUUAAAUCCUUGUUUUCUUCAAUGUUGGUAACAAUGAAGUCAAAACUUGGAUUUAAAGUUCGAAGUAUUUUUUCCAUGACCUUCACCUCAUCAACAUCUUCACCAUUUCUUUUAAGUUGAUUGACUAUGGCCAAUACUCGAGAAAAAUAAUCAGAAAUUGACUCGGACUCCUCCAUAAACAAACGCUCAAAGUCACCUCUAAGAGUUUGAAGACGAAUCUUUUUUACCUGCUCAACUCCUUUGUUGCAAGUUUGAAGCUUAUCCCAUGCUUCUUUGGCCGUCGUUGUGUUGAAUAUCUUCUCAAAUGUAUCUUCAUCCACCAAUUGAUAAAUGAGAAAGAGAGCUUUCUUGUUUCUCUUUCUUGACUCCUUCAACGUCUCCUUUACACCUUGGCUUAGCGAGGCUUCAUCUUGCUCCUCGAAGCCAUUCUCUACGAUAUCCCACACAUCUUGAGCUCCUAGUAGCGCCUUCAUCUUGAUACUCCAAAUAUCAUAGUUGUUCUUUGUGAGCAUCGGCAUUUGGAAAGGAAAACCUCCAUUCGCCAUCUUUUGAGGAUCUUGAAGCUCUGAUACCAAUUUGUUGGAAAUAAGGCUUUUUAUGUUUAGGAAAAGUGUUUAGGAAUAUUGGAGACUUUGAAUAGAAACUUGAUAGGAAGGAGAAUUCUUUAUGGAGGAGAGAACUUUGUAUUUUUGCUUGAUACAAAUGUGUAGGAUUACAUCUCUAUUUAUACUACUCUAAGGAGAACUCUAGACACACUAAUUCUAGAGAGUUCUCAACUCUAGAGAUCCAAAGAGUAUUCUAGAGAAUAUUACAACCAUAAGAAAUAUCUAGACACUCCAAACACUACAAGAAUUCUCUAGAAACAUGACCCAUAAUUACUUAAGCCCAAAAUAACUAAGUCCAAGGAACCAAAUAACUAAUUUAGGCCCAAAUCAAGUUUAUAUUUCAACAAUGGAAACAAAAACUCAUGCAAAAGCAAAUUAUGAUUAAACUACUGGAACAGAAAAUUACCAAACAAGUUCACCACCUUCUCACAGGCAAUAGAUGUCUGCAUGGACAGAGUAAAUAGAUGGUUACUAAAUUGUCAAACACCAAACAUCAGCAUCAUGGAAACACAACAUUCAAGAAUCACCUGUUUUAAUAGAGGCUUAGUCCAAGAAUCCCAGGAUCCAUUUCCAAUUUCUCUACAGAUAGAUCAAGUACAUAUAACAUUAAGGAUUUAUUAUUAUCUUUAAUGAAAUAUUCUUUCAGGGUAAAAGAAGUGCUCAAGUAAAAUAUCUACUUUUCAGGUUAUUAAAGAACAAAGGUGAUAAAAUUUGUUAUAUAUAUAUAUAUAUAUAUAUAUAAUUAUUUUCAGAUGUAUUCCAAAAUAUUUUGCACAACUUCCUCCUACCCCUAACAGAUAGGAACCAAGAUUACUAUUUACUAGGCCCUUAUUAUGAUUUAGGAUAAGGACUUACAACCAAAUGGUAAAUACUGCUCAAACAAAUGUAAUAAAUAUCAAGAAAUUUAGCAAAAACGUACAAGCAGUAUCCUGGUGAACCAGACCACUUGCUUAGUUCCUUAAUAAAGUUUCUAAUGCCCGAAUGUUUGCAUGCAUCUCCAAUACCUGACACAAAGUUUAACCACAAAAUUAGUAUCUUAUGGCUAAGCAUCCGACAAAUUUGUGUCGAUAGAUUUGUUUUUGCUAUACUAAGCUUUAAGAUGUACAAAAAAAAAAAGCAUUGACAUUUGACACCAAUCUUGGAUCUUUAGCCUAUGUCACAAUAACAAAAGAUAAUUUACUUUUUUGUACCUCAUGACAAUAAGCAUUUCUCUCUCUUAUACAAAAAAAAAUCAUUAUUUAUUAAUUACUCUUUCCUAGGUUUGUUUUCUCCACUCCUUCAUUAAAAAAUAUGUUCACCUUGUGUCACCCCCUCCCAAGAAUCAAACCCGAACAAAGAACCUUCUCCAAAAGAAAAUUUCACAUCCAUAUUCUCUCCCACUGUUAAUUCAUCAACAUGAAUCAUAGUUUUUUCUUAGACUUCAUUUUCAAAAGGAUAAACUAUGACAUCUUUUUUCUGAAUUUGAAAAGCAGUAGAAUACAUGAAAUACAACUAAUUUUCCAAAUCCAAAUAAUCUGAUACGCAUGAACAUGACUAGACUAGAAGCAAAAUUUUCAGGAAAGAAGAAAAAGUUACAUGGAUCCAUUGGGCAUCAGUAACUGAAUGCCCAUUUCAGUAUGAUAACAAAAUGAUCAAAUUAGAAAGCAUGCGACAGAAUAUUUCAUAAGGAAUGAAAUAAGUGACAACUAAUAAUAAUGACAAUUCUACAGCAUAAUUCCGUGAAUUCUUUUCUUGCUCACAUUCUUAAACAUAAAAAGAUUGAACAACCAGCAUAUGGACAGAGUUAUAUGACAAUUAAAGAAGCAUGCAAUUGCCCACCAUUUCUGAUAUAUAGAUUGGUAGAAGACAAGCUUCUUACUUCCUAUCUAUUGUCUGCAGAAAAGAAUUAUUCUAUCAUUUUGUGAUUCUGAAGAAAGGAACACAUGGAGAAAUGCAAGAGAUAAUAGGCUCCAAUCUAGUGUCUACAGAAAGGUAUUACACUAACACACAGUAAUACCAAACCAGUAAUUCUGAAGACCUAAUAUGAUUUCCAAAAAAUCCAAGAAGACUAAAAAUUAAAUUUAAGGAUAGGCUGGCUAAAAGACAAUGGCAAGGUGAUAUAAUAUUCUUAUUGCAAAGAAUUGUAGCCAAAUGGAGUCUGAAAAAAUAUCUAUCCACUUCUCCAUAUCUCAUUAGUAAGUAAACAGAAUCUAAUAAAUGGAUCAAUGUGCUCCAUUUUUCAUUUGUAUUAGUAUUUAGUAUCAAUCAGGCAUUUACUGAUUUACAGUUAGUAAUUUAAGUCCAUUAUUUCAUCCUCUACCACUCUCCUGAAUCAGAGAGGAGGGCUCAAACCCAAAUUUUGACAAAUGUAGACAAAUUUUUUUGUUUCCUGAAGAUCAGAAAUAAAGGGUAAGGAAAAAAUAAAGCUUGAUGUUUCCUCUUAGUUAUGAUCUCAGCUUUAACUAGGAUUUUCCUUCAAUUAUGUUAUUUCCAAUUUCAACUAUGGUUCUUAGCCUAAUAUUCUAUCACAACAUCAACUCAUUACAACAUCUUCCAACAUAAACAAUCAACAAUGAAGAACGAAAGCAUGGAUCGAGUUGACCGAAUUCAACAAUCAGUGAUACGAGAUAAAUAACUCAAGCAGCAAAAUAACAAAACCAAAGUCAAAUGCCACAUCGAUUCUACACCAAAAAUCAAAAACCCUAAUUAGAAAGAGAGAAACAAAACCCCUAACUUCAACAUUAAGGAAACCCUAACAGAACGGAAAGAAGAGAGAAACAGACCUUCGAGACCAGUGUCAGUGCCCGGUGAGCGCCAUUCAGGUUGGUUCACUGGGUUGUGUACAUUUCUCGCGUUCAUUUGAAGCGGAAUCAGCGCUGGAGGAUCACACCUUCCGUACACGUGCGGUUGGUAGCUCGGGAUGUCGGGGUUGUCUACGAUCCCUGGAUCGGAGAUCACCGCGUAGACCAUCGGCGCCGAGGGGAGGAACGCGGUGGCCGAGCGUGCCAUCGGCGGCGGGUGCUUCGGCUGGGACACCACCCAGUCCUUCCCGAAGUAUAUGCGCUUAGAGAGCUUCAGCCCGUCAUCGACCACUUUGGAGAAAUCCUCAGACCAUCGCAGAGAGAAGAAAAUAAAAUGUGCUUUGGAAUGUAAAGACUUUGAAAUUGCAGUUUUGGUGAGUCAGAAAACUUUUAUAUUACAGAAAAAAUAUGGUUGUGGUUGUAUUGUAGUGUGUCAAAAGACAUUUAAUGUGUUAAGAAAACUAUUAUCAUAUAUUUGCUAUAAAAAAUAAUUUUAUUUAUAUAAUAAGAGUAAUUUUAGCUACACCAAAUGAUUGUAGGUAUAAGUUUUUCAAGAUUUUACUUACACAGUUUUUUACAUACACUCAUUAUUUGUAGGUUGAUUUUUUUUAUUGAGUUUUUCCUACACCAAACAACUAUAGGUAUAAGUCUUUGAUUUUACUUACUAUGAGUAUUUGUAGGUAAAAGUUUUUCCUAGGCUUUACCUACACUAGAUUAAACAUGUAGGUAGAAGUGUUUGUAGGCAUAUGUCAUUUUUCUUGUAGUGAAAGUAGAAAAUCCUCACAAUAAAAGAAAAUAUCAUACGUCUGUACAAAUUUGCCUUAUCUAAUCUAUCUCAGUCUACAUUAGCAUGAGUUACAGCUCAUUCAAGUGAGAAGUAACGUUUAGGAACUCAUCCUCCUCACAUGGUAUUGUUAGACCACCCAUUGGAUGAUCAUAUCCAAAUUGCUCUUCUGCAUGACUAAGUUAUUGUUGAAAUAAUUAAAGGUUGGUUCAAGUAUGAUAUUGGAAUCAUGAACUGUCUCAUCUUAUCUCCAACAUAGACUGCAAGAUAGCCUUUUGUAGUUCAAAACUUUUCGAGGCUGCUUGGGGUUGUAGAAAACGAAGCCCACCUAAUAAUACCAUGUAUGCGGAAACCUAUUGUUUUCAGUUGCUCCACACAACAAAUAAUAUAAUGACUAUAAAGGUCUUGAACAUGAAAGAAAUAUUUGAGUUCAGAUACUUCAGGAAUGGGAUGGCUUUUGUUGCUUGGGAACCCAAGAAAUUGUGUAUAUAUAAUGUAUAAGACCUAUGCAAUCCAAUUCCACAGUUGGUCGCCGUGAUGUUGAGGGAGAAAGAAUCAAAUGGUAUUGUCUCAGAUGUCUCUUUCAAGGAUUAGGAAGAUUAAUAGGAAUCCAUACCUCACCUUCAGAGAUAAUGGCCAACAAAUUACCACAUGAGAACCUAAUGUUUGUUCAUGCAUUGUGAUGUAGCUAAUCCAAUGGUCGAUAUGCUUAGGACAUCUCACAUGUUUCAUCAAAUAAUUGUAAGCUGACAGUUCUAUUGAUAUAUAUAUCUACCAUGUACUAAAUAUUACAGUGACAGAUUGACAGCUCUGAAUAAGUUUUGGGAGGCAAAAAGAAAACCAAUACCAAAUACAUGAUCAUGAGGCCCUAUGAACCACAUUUUUUAUGUACGGAAAAUUCUAACCGGCACCAGCCUAAAAUUUGCACGCAUUAAGUUCAUUGCCCCUACCCCGUUAAUAAUUGUUAAUAUGAUCCACUUUGAUUUCUUUUUAUAUACUUUAUCUUAACUACUAUCUUAUCUCAUAGCCCUCAUUCACCAACAAUUCAUGCAGCCAUUGGUUUCUUACAUAUUCCUUUGUCUAUAUAUAUUCAUGGCUACAAGCACUAGCACCAACACAUAACAUUCAAACCCUAAAGCAUUCAAAAUUGUCAAUACUUUUCUUAAACAGUUCUCUCCUUAAAGCAAUACAACAAUGGGUUUUUGUUAGCACCAGAAAUGAAGGCAUCCCGACAGAGCAACCACGAAGAGAAGUCUCGCGCCCUAAACACCUUGAAGACUACGUGUGAGCUGGUACCAUGCAGGGUCAUGCAUGCGUAUGCAUGGAUACCAGUUAGUUAGGGAUACCGUUUGUUAGUUACAAUAGGGCCGUUAUUCUGUUAUCGCAAGGUAGUUGCUGCCAUUGCAAGCCAUAGCAAUGUAAGACCCGUGUAUAAAAGGAAAGCUCACUCAUGAAUAAAGCAGAGAAAUCAUUUCCCAGUAUUAGCUUAGUGUAGUUAUCUCUCUCUCUCUCCUCUGCUCUUAACAGCUGGUCCGACCUACUACCAUGGCGGAACACGGAACCCGCCGUACCACCACUGAUCGACUCGAAGAAGCCAUCUCCACCCUCGCCAUGAAACACUCCGAGCUGGCCAGCAAAGUUGACGCCAUGUGUGAGCGUUUUUCUAACAUGGCUCCACCUCCAUCCCCAUCUCAUCAUCCUCACCAACGUCCCCCAGUCAAGCUUGACGUCCCACGGUUCAACAGCCAUGAUCCAUUAGGGUGGAUCUUCAAAAUCUCUCGAUUCUUUGAUUAUCAAGGGACACCGGAGGAAGAAUACAUCACCAUCGCAUCAUUUUAUCUCGACGGAGCAGCACUUAGUUGGUUCCAAUGGAUGUAUAGGAAUGGCUUUAUCACGUCAUGGUCGGCGUUACUUCAGGCUAUCGAGACUCGCUUUGCACCGUCGUUCUACGACGACCCCCGCAGCGCAUUGUUCAAAUUAAUACAGAGAACCUCAGUCACGGAGUACCUGAUGGAGUUCGAAAGGUUAGCAAAUCGCAUCGUUGGACUCUCUCCCCCCAUGUUAUUGAGUUGUUUCCUUUUUGGCCUGAAUCCUGAGAUUCGACGCGAGGUGCAAGCGUUUCAACCAGUAUCCUUGCUUGUCUCCAAGUAUCCUGAUAUUCCUUUGUCUAUAUAUAUUCAUGGCUACAAGCACUAGCACCAACACAUAACAUUCAAAACCUAAAGCAUUCAAAAUUGUCAAUACUUUUCUUAAACAGUUCUCUCCUCAAAGCAAUACAACAAUGGGUUUUUGUUAGCACCAGAAAUGAAGGCACCCCCACAGAGCGACCACGAAGAGAAGUCUCGUGCCCUAAACACCUUGAAGACUAUGUGUGAGCUGGUACCAUGCAGGGUCAUGCAUGCGUAUGCAUGGAUACCAGUUAGUUAGGGAUACCGUUAGAUAGUUACAAUAGGGCCAUUAUUCUGUUAUCGCAAGGUAGUUGCUACCAUUGCAGGCCAUAGCAAUGUAAGACCCGUGUAUAAAAGGAAAGCUCACUCAUGAAUAUAUCAGAGAAAUCAUUUCCCAGUAUUAGCUUAGUGUAGUUAUCUCUCUCUCUCUCUCCUCUGCUCUUAAUAGUUUUCGUUUACCUGGUAUCAGAACUGCAUUAUUUGCAGCAAAUCAAGCAUCUUCAAAAGUGGUGGAUCCAUCAAGGGCUAUCUUGCAGUCUAUGUCGAUGAGAAAAUGAAGCAGUUCGUUAUCCCGGUAUCACACUUGAACCAACCUUCAUUCCAGGAAUUGUUGAGUAGAGCUGAGGUAGAGUUUGGAUAUUAUCAUCCCAUGGGUGGCCUCACAAUUCCUUGCAGUGAGGAUGUCUUCCAACGUAUAACUUCUUGCUUGAAUUGACGAUAAAUCUCACACUCUUGGAGUCUAACACAGAUUACUGAACCAGUGUAGAUAGACACCACUCUUGUAAAACUGAAAGUCAGAGCCACACGCAUCAAUAGCUACAGAAACUGGUUGAUUGGCACAACUUUUUGCAGUGCCUUCUCAUUGCUGGAAGGGAUAUCCUCAUACCCAAUAAUAGUAGCAGAAGGGUUGGCUUCUUCAUUUGCAUUGCACUUUCCAUCAACACCCUUAUAAGGGUAAUUGGGGUCUUGAGUCCAUGAUUUUGAAUGAUGAAUUUGAAAGCAUCAUCCAUAAGACCACCCUCACAACCUUGGUCCACGCCCAGUGUCAAUCAACAAGCUCUUGUUCUGCAAAAGAGAUCAAUUUUCCAGCCAUCAGUGCAUGAAUUCCAUUGUACAGCUCACAGAUUGAGAUGUACCAGAGAUACAUGUUCAUGUAGUACUAUUAUUUGAUAAUUCAUCUGUUUCCGUAAAAGGUGUACCAUUGGGACAAUGAAUUUAAUUUUUGGGUGAUAGUAUGAUAAAAAAUACCACUAGCUCUGUCAUUAGUCCCAUCCCAAAUUAAUAUAUUCAAGUUCCUCUUUGUUCCUUGAAAAAUACCACUAGCUCUUUCGAGCCGUGUAUUUGAAGCACCGUGCGUGUAAGCUAUUAUAUGCUGUGAAAUAAUAAAAAUCAAGUCUUUUUUUUUUCAGCAGCCAAACUCCUACUAGUGUCUAUAGUUCUUAUUGCAGAGAAAAGUAAACAAUGUAAUUGACAAACAAACAAAUAGCAAUUGAAUUCAAUGUCAUUAAUCAAAAAUUGGUUGUUGGUAGUUGAUUAGAUGAUAGUUGAUAGUUGAUAGUUUUAGAGAAUUGUUUUAGAAAGAAGGCUAUGUCAUUGAUUUCUUGGAUUAUCAAUUACAACAUACCAAUUGCCUAUUUAUAGGCUCAAGUCACCAACCUCUCAAUGGUGGUGAAUGUUUCUACAUUACUUUAUGUCUUUCUAGAGUUUUCAUGAUAGAUUAGUAUAAUGAUAGUUCUAGAUUCUUCUAUCUUAUACAUACACUUAUAGUUCUAGAUUGUUCUACCAUAUUCAUACACAUUAUAGUUCUAGAUUGUUCUACCAUAUUCAUAUACACUAUAGUUCUAGAUUGUUCUACCAUAUUCAUACAUAUUAUAUUUAAGAAUAUUCUAGAAAUUUGUAGCAAUUUCAACACUCCUCCUUGAUGCAAAUUUCUGUGACUCCGAGCAUAGCUCGUAAUUCUUCAAAUCUUGGUCGCGGCAAAGCCUUCGUGAAUAUGUCUGCAAUUUGAUCUUCUGUUCUGCAGUAGUCGAGUUUGAUCUCUUUAGUUGCUUCAGCUUCUCUGAUAAAGUGAUAUUUGAUUGUUAUGUGUUUUGUUUUGUUGUGAUGAACUGGAUUCUUCGCCAUUGCAAUUGCUGAUUUGUUGGCGCAGUUGAUUUUAGUAGGCUCAUCUUGUUUUUCUCCCAUGUCUUCAAGUAUCCUACGAAGCCAUAUAGCUUAACUCGUUGCUUCAACAGCUACCACGUACUCUGCUUCUACUGUUGAUUGUGCUACUGUAGCUUGCUUCUUCGACGUCCAAGAGAACAUUCCCGAUCGUAGUGAGAAAGCAUAGCCAGAGGUACUCUUCAUGUCAUAUGCUGAACCUGCCCAAUCACUAUCGGUGUAGCCAAGUAAUUCUGAGUUGGUUUCGGUUGUAUACCAUAUACCGAACUCUUUUGUUCCUUGUAGAUACUUUAAAAUUCUUUUUCCUGCUCCAAAGUGUAUUUGACUUGGGCUUUGCAUGAAUCUUGAUAGAAGACUUGUAGCAUACAUUAUGUCAGGUCGUGUAGCUGUCAAAUAUAGGAGACUUCCAAUUAGACUUCGGUAUUUGGAUGCAUCAGCUUUUGGUGCUCCAUCAUUCUUCUGUAGUUUCUCAUUUGUUAUGAGUGGAGUAGCAACAGGUUUGCACCCAUACAUCUUGAAUUUCUUAAGUAAGCCUUUUGUGUAUUUCUUUUGCGAGAUGAAUAUCCCUUCAUUUCUCUGACUUACCUCUAUGCCGAGGAUGUAACUCAUCAAACCAAGGUCGGUCAUCUCAAAGGUCUUCAUCAUGUCUUCUUUAAACUCCAUCAUUAUCUUAGUAUUGUUUCCCGUGUAGAUAAGAUCAUCUACAUAUAGAGAGAGUAAGAGAGUGUACUGACCUUGAGACUUGAUGUAAAGUGUAGGCUCACUCUUGCUCCUCCUGAAUCCUCGAUCCAUGAAAUACUGAUCGAUUCUGCUAUACCAUGCUCGAGGUGCUUGCUUCAAAUCGUAGAGUGUUUUUCUUAGUCUUAACACUUUGCUUUCUUUGCCUUCAGACACGAAUCCUUGUGGCUGCUCCACAUAGAUCUCUUAUUCAAGUACACCGUUAAGGAAGGCGGAUUUGACAUCUAGUUGAUGGAUAUUCCAUCCUUUUUGUGACGUAAUAGCUAUUAGAGCUCUUAUGGUAUCAAGACGAGCUACUGGUGCAAAUGUCUCAUUGUAGUCAAUUCUGGAUUGCUGUGAGUAACCCCUUAGCUACUAGCCUCACCUUGUGUUUCUGUAUGGUGCCAUCAGGGUUUAGCUUUGUCUUAUAGACCCACUUAACCCCAAUGAUAUCUUUUCCAUGGGGACGAUUUACUAACUCCCAUGUGUUGUUUUUCUCGAUCAUCUGUAUCUCUUCUUCCAUUGCCUUGACCCAUACUUCCUGCUUUGACGCUUCUUCAAAGCUUCCAGGUUCAAGUAUGGCCAAGUUACGAGCGGGGGUGCAAGUACCGCAUGUAGCUAGAGCAUGUAGGCUCUAAUGGCUAUACUCGUGGAUGAUGACUUUCGCUCGAAGGGGGAGGCUACCAUGUGGAAGAGACUCACACUUGAGGGGGAGAUGUGUUGGAUUACAAGUGUGAGGUGAAGUCCCACAUUAGGAAUCUCCCCGGUAUUUCCUCCCAUCGAGUUUUUCCCAACAUUGGUAAUCUUUACAAUUAGGUUGAGAAGAUGCCUAUUGUAUAAAAUGUCUAUUAAAUAAGUCAGUGUCUGCAACAGUGCGAGAUUUAUUGUACAUUCAAGUGAUAAGUUAUAUGUUGGAAAACAUCUUCACUCUAAGGAAUUGUGAGGCCACCCAUGGAAUGAUCAUAUCCAAACUCUUCCUCAGCUUGACUCAACAAGUCCUGGAAUGAAGGUAGGUUCAAGUAUGGUAUGGCAAUGAUGAACCACUUUUGGUGCCCGUCAAAUAGAAGGUAAACGGAAACCCAUUUUUCUGCUUGAUUGGAGGAAGAAGAACAAUCACAAAUUUUCUAAAAAUGAAUAUCAUUGUUGAAGCUUGAGGAUUGCAACUGCUUGUGUUGUUUGUGAAGACCGAGGAUAGUGUAUAUAUAGUUUCUAAGAUUCAGUGGAAACCCAAUUCCCAUAGAAAAUGACAGGUAAAGGAAGGAGGGCAUACACAUGAGAUAUCACAUGGUGUUGUCUUCAGUAACUCUAUUAAGGAUAAGAGGUGAAGACGUGUGUAACCAAAUGAGACGUGCCUAAUUGAAACCUAAUGUUAAUUCAUGCAUUAAUUGAUAGUCCAUAUUUUUGUAAACAUGCUGGGAACAUGUUUUUCUUCUUAUUAUGUUGAAGUACUGGUGGAAAGUAAUUUCAGGCUGAUGAAUUAUAAGGCAAUGGAUAGUGAGAGAUCCUAUAUCAUUUUAUUUCUGUGGUUUGAGAUUACACAUCUAUUUAUUUCAAGUGGAACCAGUGAGAAAGUCCUCCAAGGCAAUACAAUAUGCCCUUUAUGAGUCAUUCACGUCCUAAAGCAUUUAGAGUUCAAAAACUUGCAACAUCUUAUUCACAAGUCUUUUCUCACUUUCUCUUCCCAAGUCUCAACUCAUAAAACAACAGAGGGUUUUUGCUUACCUGGCAUCAGGAAGACAUCGGUUGCUGCAAACAAAUUAGCACCUUCAAAAGCCGUGGAGGUGCCAAAGGCUACCUUGCAGUCUAUGUUGGAGUGAAAAUGAAGCGGUUUGUUAUCCCAUAUCAUGCUUGAGCAAACCUUCCUUUCAAGAUAUGUUGAAUCAAGCUGAGGAAGAAUUUGGGUAUGAGCACCCAAUAGGUGGUCUCACAAUACCAUGUAAGAAGGAUGAGUUCUUAACUGUCACCUGUCACUUGAAUGACCUGUAAAUUUGUACAGAAGCCGUUUUCUUUUAUUGUAAGGAUUUUCUGUUUUCUACAGAAGUUGAAACCUGUUUCCUGAAUGAGAAUGCAACACAAGACAUUGUUUAAUAGCUUUUUGCUUUUGCCAAAUCUCAAUGUAGUUUAAUAUAUACAACAGUAUCACUAUCAAAUUUAACUUAUUGAUAUAUAUCAGCAUGAUCAGACAGUCAGCUACUUAUAAACAUUAGGGAUUAACUGCAGUAAUUUUGUUGGAGAUAUUGCGCAAUCUUGAUAAUCUUGUUAAUUACUAGUUCCCUAAUGUAUUUCCCAUGUGUGUCCAUGAUCCGAACAAGAAAUCCGCAACGUAUUUUUAUGCUAUGCUUUAUGCAUUGUAUGGUCACAGUUUCAACUUAUCUAAUUGAAAGAAGUUAUGUAAAAUCGCUCGUUCGUUCACUUCUACCCAUAUAGGGUUAGAGAUAAUGAGCCAUACCAUUUGUGAGUCGUGUAAGAGAAAGCUUUUGUCACAAGAGUAGUCUACGUCGAUUCAAGGAAGAAAAUAAACCUUGAAGUUAAGUACAAUUUUAUUUUGCACUUUCUUUGUCAGGAAAAUUUCCUUGUGUUUAUAGGGCAAUGCACAGAUGAAAAUUUUAAUUAGAUAUGUAUAAUUACAUAUGAAUAUGUUCUGUUUCUCCUAAGUAAUUUUAUCUGUCUAUGGUCCUAGGGAAAAUACUUCUCCUAAGUCUCGUGUUUUAACAGAAUUCAACCUACCUGGCUCAUACAGAGAGAAGGCAAGAUUGAAACUAAUAAACAUAAAGUAAAGACAAGCAGAGCUCGAGUUGUUGAAAUUAUUGUAAUUAAACAAAAAACUAAUAUAUUCUGAUUUUCCAUCUCUCGUGACAAAGGGGGAUCUAUACAUUUUCAGAACACGCCUAUUGUACAAAAUGUCUCCUCUAAGCUAUGUCAGUACUCCUAAAGUAUGAGAAUUAUGGUCAGUUCAAGAAAGAAGUUAUAUGUUGGAAGGUAUCUUCACUGCAAGGAAUUGUGAGGCCACCCAUGGGAUGAUCAUAGCCAAACUCUUCCUCAGCUUCACUCAACAAGUCCUGGAAUAAAGGUUGGUUCAAGUAUGAAACAGGAAUCACAAACCGCUUCAUUUUC
rnacentral:lncRNA from 1 species